AGCUAAUAGAAAGAAGAUUGAAGCCCGUUUAACUGGCGGGGGCCCAUCACCACCUCCCCUCACCCCAUCUGAGGAGCUGGCUCUGUCCCUUAAUAAAGGGCGACCAGUGGUUGCUGGCAUUCCAGGGGACAGUUCAUCACACACAGCAUGCACCACAAGUGAUGGUGAAAAAAUGGUGCAAUACACUGAUGGUCGGAUUGUAUUAUUGGACUCUCCAGAAAGAACACAGUCUGUCACAGUUGAUGAAGAUGACGAUGAAGAGACCACAUCUGCUGUGACAGAAGUGGACAAUGCUGGUAGAUCCACUGAGUACAUACCUAGGGGUUUGCCCACAGAUGAGGGUCCUUCAACCUCAGCACACAAUCUAAGCAGGGU